UUUAUUUUUAGCUCGACUUCUAAGUCAAGCUUAGGAGGGCAGAGAGAAAACAAUCACAAAUGUUCAUGACAUUGAUGUCUAAGUGAUGAGGGAAUGUUUGUGAACUAAUCUGGAUUAUCUAAAAGAAAAUCUCCAUGUAAUCCAAGAAAACAAAUGUUAAAAUUUGCGGAAUAAGAGGAAAUGGUGUUAAAGGGGUGGAGGAAGCAAGCUAGAAGGACGUUCUAUAAUCUCUUACUGCAUGCAGACAUAAAGCUUACCUUAUGAUUGGGUUCAGAUGGCAAAGGAGGGAUUACUAGAAUGAUGAAUUUUAGAAGCCCCACAGCUGGUUUACAAAAGCACCUACCUGCGACAUGGAAAAGAAGUGAGGGGUGGGCACGAUAACAAGUCAAAGAUGACAUCUGAAGUUCUUGUUGAGGAACUAGUUGGAAGUACCAUUUGAUGUCAUUUUGCAAAUGGGAAUAUAGAAGGAAAUGGUAUUAGUUUUUAAAAAUUGUCUUGAAGAGUUCCCAAAUCCCAAGACACAUUACCAAUUCGGCUGGUCACGGCAAUUCAUCAAUUUUUUUGUCACAUAUUCGCAGACUCACAGUUGGGACUGAGGAGCCAAGGAAUAUUUAAACAGCAUCUAACUUUGAUAAAUAUGCAAGAAGUUAAAUGCUUUUUAUGGCUGUUACAAAUCAGGCCAGGCAAAACCAAAGGUGUGCUCAAGUCUGGUCAUC
rnacentral:lncRNA from 10 species